CUUCAUUCAUAUCACAACAAAGGAGUGAUUCAAAUUAAUUACACAAUAAAUAUAUAAAUUCGAUUGAUUGAAAAAUCUCAUAAUUACACAUCGUGUGAUCAGAACAAUUCUGAUUGGUCAAGGUUCUGCCGGCAAAACCAGUUUAGACCAGACAAAAAAUAUGUAUGGUGUGUGUGUCUAUAUAUAUAUAUAUAUACAUAUAUAUAUAUAUAUAUAUAUAUUUGUGCAACAUACACUUUGUAUAUUUUAUAGUGAUCAUAAGGCAACACCUUCACACUGAUAUAUGUAUAAGUGUACCUUAUUUAGGUAUAUUAAGAGUUCCUGGGGAUGUCACAAUCUUACUAUAAACAUCCUGUUUUACUAACAAAUGCUGUAAUAUAGAUACUGACCACAGUGUGUCACAGAGCCUUCACUUUGGGACAUAUAGUGACAUAUAGCCAGGAUACUUUAUAUAUGCUGCAUCCAUAGAUUUAAUGUUAUACUGCAUUACUCUGAUUGCAUGGGACUUUAUUGCUGAACUAUAUAUUCUGCAUUAUUUAAAGUGACUCAGUAUAUUUCCAUCACUAUCAUCGAGGAAAAAAACAAAAUAAAAAUUCUCUUAUAUUACCACUGAAUAAAACUGCCACAGGGAUAAGGAUUUCCUUGGGUGUUACUGUCCUGCAGUGGUGUCACUGGGAGGGCAGAGGGGGCCAUGGCCCCCCCUACAUCAUGCUGUGGCCAUGUUCUUCAAUUCUAUUCCCUCAGACUGUAACAAUCUGUGACAGCGUGAGGGAAUGAAGGACUGAGGUGCCGGGUGUUGUCUGUGGCUGGAGGGAGCACUGACAGGCUCCCGGCACAGGCCCCACCCCCACAUGAAGCCCCACCUCCUGUAGAUAAGCCCCCUCACCCCUGCCGUUAAGCAGCAGACCAUGCUGCUGCUGGAAAGAAUGGAAGAUGGCUGUCUGACCCCCAGCAACAGCCUCCAGUGACAGGUAGGCUUAUUGUAUGUGUGUGUGUGUGUGUGUGUGUGUCUAUGGAUUCAGUAGAGUCUGUGUGUUUGUGUGUGGACUCAGCAGUCUGUGUGUGUGUAUGGACUCAGCAGUCUGUGUGUGUGUGUGUGUGGACUCAGCAGUCUGUGUGUGUGUGUGUAUGGAUUCAGCAAAGUCUGUGUGUAUGUGUGUGUGUGUGUGUGUGUGUGGACUCAGCGGUGUGUGUGUGUAUGGACUCAGCGGUCUGUGUGUGUGUGUGUGUGUGUAUGUGGACUCAGCAGUCUGUGUGUGUGUGUGUA